UUAUUAGUUUAUUAUAAAACGUUUACAUUCAUAAGACUUGAGUUAUUGUAUAAAAAUAAUGGCGAGUUCGCUAGUAAAUUAAUACUAACGCUCUACGACCAUAACAGAGCACAGGUGUAUGUGGAUGUGAAGGGUUGAGACAUCUUAGGUUUUUUACGCCUAGUAUGACCUCAGUUUAAUCACUAGUGAUCCUUCCGCAGGUUCACCUACGGAAA
rnacentral:misc_RNA from 1 species